rnacentral:rRNA from 1 species
AUUGAACGCUGGCGGCAGGCCUAACACAUGCAAGUCGAACGAGUGGCGGACGGGUGCGUAAUGUCUUGUAAACUGCCUGAUGGACGGGGAUAACUAUUGGAAACGGUAGCUAAUACCGCAUACCAUCAGAUGUGCCCAGAUGGGAUUAGCUAGUGGGUGGGGUAAAGGCUAACCAAGGCGACGAUCCCUAGCUGGUCUGAGAGGAUGACGAGCCACAAUGGAACUGAGACACGGUCCAGACUCCGACGGGAGGCAGCAGUGGGGAAUAUUGCACAAGGGGCGCAAGCCUGAUGCAGCCAUGCCGCGUGUAUGAAGAAGGCCUUCGGGUUGUAAAGUACUUUCAGCGGGGAGGCGUUACCCGCAGAAGAAGCACCGGCUAACUCCGUGCCAGCAGCCGCGGUAAUUC